rnacentral:lncRNA from 1 species
GACAUUUCUUCAAUGUAGAAAUCACAAUAUAUAUCAACUAAGAGAUCUGGGUGUUUAACAGAAUUGUUAUCUAACAAACAGAUAACCAGCUGGCAUCAGGGAUUUUUUCCACCACUCUCAAGUCAAUGCAGCAAGUACCAGGGCCUCAGAGAUAUUUGGAAGGGGAGGAAGAAAAACAACCACAAAACCUGGCCUAAAGGUUUGCAACAGAGUGGAAUCUGCUGGAAAUGCUGAUAAGUGUUGUUAAACCAGAUGACAAAUGGAGUCUCUCACCUAAUCAUUUAAACUAUUGAUUAACUCUAAGUGUAAACAUAGACAAAGCACAUUGUUCACACCACUUCAUUUAGUUUACUUAGGUGAAAUUAGGCACUGUUUCCAUAUUACAUGAAAAGCAUAUUAAAAUUUGCCAACCCAACCUUUGUAUAUCACCAUGGAAAAAAAAAGAAGCUAUUUAAAAUUUAAAAAGGAAUUUUAAAAAAACAGUUCUACCAAAUUCGUCUCCAUUUUAUAAAGCCUUUAACAGUUGAAUGCUUUCAAAAUCUAGAGAGAAAUUAGAUAAGUUUGAUAAGUUGAUUGCUUAAUAUAGCUUAAAAUACUUUAAUCAAAACAAUUCUAAUGUAGAUCCUGUUUUUCUAUAUCAUCUCUGCUUAUCUUAUUGCUGAUCUUCAACCCAGAUAACCUAGAUAAUCAUAAAACCUCAGCUAACAUACUAUUUGAAGUAGAUCUGAAGCAUUUAUAAUUUUAACUUGGCUGACCUGUUACACAACCAUGUGUAAUGAAGCAAGAUUUAAGUUAGUUGCUAACAGUUAAUAUCUCCCAUAAAUAAUAGGUAAGCUCUCUUGUGAUGCAUA